rnacentral:lncRNA from 1 species
ACUUCCUCCUCCAUUAUCGUUAUAACACCAGCCAGCUAAUCCUCUCCAUCUUUAUAACUACCGCCCUGCAUCUUGUAACUAGCUAACUCUCCAUACAUACCAAAACAUUUUAUUCCCUAAAAUUCCCAGUUUCUUUUCGUGUCAUAAAUGGGGUCUCAAAGAAAUAAUCAAUACUUGACAAUGAUACUCUUUGUUACCAUUUUUUUCCUAUCCUGUUCCCAGCGAAUUUUGGCAGCGAGGCUAUUAAUAGGGAGAGAUCAGAGGGGCCACGUAGUUUCCUGUUCUGUAUGCACAUAUGCGUGUGCUGAAUGCCAUGGCAACGGUCCUCCUAUGAUAUGACGCGGGAGGAGUGGGGUGUUUUGAGCUGUAGCUAAAUUAUGGAUGAAUAAUCUAGGGUCGGUUUUCCUUAUACUUGCCAGUAAGUAACUUGGAAUGCAUAGCUGCCCUUAGUGUGUCACUUUUUUUUUCUUUUUUUUCUUUUAUCCAUGGUUUGGGGCGUGAUAAUUAUUUCUGUAUAGUUUGCUCGUAGUGGUUACUUAUUUUGACCAUGUUCUUGUUUUGGUGGUCUAUUCUCUCCUUGAAAACGCUCCCUUUCUCUUUAAAAUCUUGAAUUAAUCUAAAAUCGAGUUUUAGUGCUGUUUUAAUUCCAUUCAAAAUACCAAAUGGGAAGGUGAUGAGAGAAGAAAAACGAAAAAGGAAAGAUGAAAAGAUAAAGAAGAGAGGUAAUCAUGAUCCUGAAACCAACGCCCAUGUAUGAAUAAAGAGUAGCUAGCGCAAGACCGCAGAAGGAAAGGAAAUUGCAAAACCCAUGAAUAGUGUGCACCUGCAAGCAAUCAUUCCAGACAGCAGCCAGAUAGAAAAUGUCAAUUUUCAGCUUAACCAAGCAUACAGCUCGAUGCCUCAUUAGUUGACAUAAAUUUAAUAUUAGGAAUAUAAGGCUUCCCUUUUGACCCCAUGAAUACGCUGUUGAUGAUAUAUAUAUGAUGCUUUCAUAGCCAUGUUUUAUUUUUUUUUAUAAUCUUACUGCAGGUAACCAAAUUGAUCAUAAGCUCAGCCUUUGCUUUAGGUUUCUUUUCUUAUUGAUCGUCUGGGCAUUAUACAUAUGUAUUGUGGAAUAGUGGAGAAGAAGAUGUUCUGGCUUUUGCAAAUUAUUCACACAGCCAGAUGGAAUCUUACUGGAUGACUUUUUCUCAUCAAUUUGAUAGUUUAGUAUUAAUUGAAUAAUUUUUUUCUAUAUAGGAUAUGUUUCCUUAAAAAUAAUAAACCUCUCUAAGCUCCCUAUCUUUUCAGGACAACCAUAAAAUAAAUCUAUCUUCUCACUCUCCUGCCAACUCUCUUCUUAUCUCCCUCCAGUCUUCUACGAUUUAAAAUCAUUUUUACAUUAUUAUUAUUAUUAUUAUUACCCACUUACUUUACUUUCAAAUCAAUUUGCGAGUCGUUUCAUCAAUUUGUCAAGGUUAGAGGAUUCACUAAUGGUAUUUCAAAUAAAUAUAAUAUAAACUCUUUUUAUUACUCAACUAGAAACCACACACAAAGGAGGUUCUAAUCGGAUGAUUUAUCAUUAAUGGCUCAUUAUAAAGUAUUAACAUGAUCAUAUUAAUUAUCUUGUCUAAGUAACACCAUACUUAUAAAUAUCAUCAGGCAUUCAUGUUGCUAGCUUGUGUUAACAACAAAUCAAGUUCCUAUCAUAACAACGAUGUCGGCCGAAAACUAUGAAGGAUCAAGCAUUUGAUGUAACAAGUGUUAUACAACAUAAAUCUAGAUUAACCAUUUAACAAGCAAGGUAUUAAGGAUUAAUAAGAAAAAAAGAUAAGACAUGCUAAUAACAAUUUUUCUUGGAUAUAAACAUUAAAGUCCAUGUUGAGUUUAUAUUAUACCUAUUCUAACACCAUUAGUAAAACCUUUUCACCUUGACAUAAUUAACUUAGCUAAACAUAAUGAAGAAGAAAAACAUAAAUAAACAACAUAAGAACAUAAACAUGAUAUAAGUUAACUAAUUAUAGGAAAGGAAAUGAAAAAGCAUAAACAAGAGAUUAAUAUAACAUGAAAGAAAACUUGAACAUUACAAAGAUAUAAAGAAAGAAAGCAAGAACAUGAUUUUGAUCUGAAAACCAAGAUGACUAAAUACAUGGCAAAUGCCUCCUUUUAUAGGCUAAGAUGUGGAACUAUUGCUUGGUGGACUAAGGAAAUAGUUGGUGGCCAACCAUUGAUUUGGUGGCUGGUUUUUGACAUUGUUGGCUGCUGGUUCUUGAAAUUGUUGGCAGAUUUUUGAUAUUGUUGGCUGGCCAAAACGUCAUUGCUAACAUCAGAAUUUGAGCCCUUUGUUUCAUGAAAGCUGUGGGUAAUUGUCUCAGAUUUCCAACAAAAAAAACCAGAGCUCAUUUGGACUUCUAGAACUCAAGAUAUGAGCUGAAAACCGAACAGUGUUUGAGCUGCAGGACAGGUUCCGACUUCUCCGUUGUUGCUAAGAUUUGAACUUGAAAACGGCAGAAUUGAGUCUUGGACCCUUCAUGAAAGUUUUAGGUCUAUGUCUUAUCUUUCCAUCCAUAUAAAGUGGACCUAAAUCCGAGUUCUACAACUCCAGUUAUGAUCAAAUAACCGAAUGGUGUUCUAAUUUGGAAUUGAACCAGCAUCUCUUCUCUUAGCCUAGUCCUCUUUUUGUCUCUUCACUUUUAAUUGUUAAUCACAUCAAUCAAUCCUUUGAAUUGUGAGAUAUACCUGCAUUCAAAAUAAGCAUUUACCAUAAAUUAAAGAUAUAUUAUAUUAUUAGACUUGUUAUUAUAAAAUAUGCUUUAGUUAGGGAAUUUAACGAUACUUUAGUGCAAUACGAUGAUAUAAAGCCUUAAUGAGAAUACACUUUUAAGUACUAAUCAAUGGACUCACCCAUGGAUACAUUGGUUAGAUAAUUACAAAGAGUUUGGCAAGAAAUGCAUGAAAUUAGAAUCGAUCAACAGAGUGACCGAUGGAUUAACAUCUGUUGCUGAAAUUUAUACGCACCGAUGGAACCACCGAUGUACUAUAAAAUAGUUAGAGAAUUAUAAAGAGUUUGGAAAGAAUUCAUGAAAUUGGAUUGGCCAAUGAAAAUACUAAUGGAUAAAAAUUCAAUGGUGAAUUUGGGAUUUUUCAAGAAAUUUUAGAAAUUUUUGAAACUACUGAUGGAAUCACUAAUGGAUUUAAAUGUUUUUGGCAAUGAGCUAGUCAGUGAUGUGUUGACAUGAUAAAUCACUAACGGAUUCACCAAUAGAAAAUUAUAUGGUGAAUUUAAACCAAAAUAUAUUGGGGUAAUCCCUAAUUUUUCUCCCAUUUCCCUAAAAUACCCCAUUUCCCUUCCCCUCUCUCCUCUCUCUCUCCCUCUAUCUUUAACCAGUGGUAGGCAUUCUCUCUCUAGAAUCAGUGGUGGCGACUCUCUCUCUCUCUCUCUCCUUUAGAUGGUGACGACACAUUAUCUCUCUCUCUCUCUCUCUCUCUCUCUCUCUCUCUCUCUCUCUCCACUUCCUAAUGUUUGAUCUUGAUCGUUUGAUGUUUUUUCCCCCUAUAUUUAUUGAUUUUUUCAUGUUUGUUAUGAGUUAAAAUGCAUGCUUUGUUAUUUGGGAGGGAUGAAAGCUAGUUUAUUUUGGGUUGGCCAUGGGGAAGCAUUGGGGAAAAAUGGAAAUUUUGUUUAAAUUUAUAAUAUUGUAUGGUUAUUAAAAUUAUAGGUAUGGGUAAAUUUUGUUUAGAAAGGAAUUUUAAUUUGUAUACGUGAUGUUAUUUACAUAUUGUAUGGGUGUUUGAAAGAAAUAGGUGAAUGUGAUUUUAUGUUAGCUAGUGAUAUGAAUACUUAUGGAUUAAAAAAGAAAACUUAGAAAUUGUUUAUAAUUGUAUGUGAAACUGUUAAAUGAGAUUGUGUAUGGUGUUUUAUUAUUGGGAAGAAAUAUGCUAGAAUGGGUUGAGCAAGUUAUGGAAAAUUAUAAAUGUUAUUUCAAAUUCGUUGAAUGAUUACUUGUAACUUUUGGGAAAUUUUAGAAAUAGAUUUAAUUGUUUAGUUGAUUAAGAUAAGUGUUGAUACUUAAAAAUUAUUUGGUUCUUUAAAUGUGGUUUUUUGUAUUUUUAAAUUUUUUUGGGUAGCGUUUUGUAUAGAAGAGAUGUUGCCAAAAUCUUGUUGAAAGUAUAUAGAUGCACUAGAACAAAAACCCAUAAACCAUAGAUUGAUAAUUUAAUUUAAUAUGCUUAAUUAUUUAGUUAUAUUGUAUAGAUGCCGAGAAAAAGUUUAGGGUCAAAAUGAAGCGUUUUUCUUCUUCAAGUAGUAUUAUUCUGGAGCAUGUGGUGCAUUUAAAUGAUGAUCAUAAAUACACACCUGAUGCACAUGUUAGUGAUACAAGAUCAUUGAUUAUGAGUCGUAGAUCUAGCAUCUCAUCUGCAAGAUAUCCUUAUUCUGGUAAGUUAAUAGCAGAAUGGAAGCUGAAUUUAAGCAUGUAAAAAAAUUAGUUCCUCAAAGAUAACAUUAAAUUAAUGAUUAAACUUUUAUACGGUUUAGAGUUAAUUAAUUGAUUUUCAAGUUCACAAAGAUGGAAACUAAACGAACAAUAACAUCAGCGAUAAAAAUAUUGAUGUAAGUGUCUUUGUUUCAAUGAAGCAAGCUUAGAGAUCAACAAAAUGGAUCUACACAGGUACAUUGCUAAUACGUUCGCCUUGGACGACCGACCGANNNNNNNNNNNNNNNNNNNNNNNNNNNNNNNNNNNNNNNNNNNNNNNNNNNNNNNNNNNNNNNNNNNNNNNNNNNNNNNNNNNNNNNNNNNNNNNNNNNNUGCAAACUUUGGGUUCCAAGCGAGUUUGGAAAAAUCAUAGCGCAACAAUUUCUUUUAUAAAAUUGUAAUAUUUUUUAUCGUUAUAUUUUUUUUAGGUUAACAAACUUUUGAACCAAAUUGCACAAUUUUUGGUACGACACACACUUAUGCUAAUAAAAGAGCCGAGUUAGAUGACUUUAAGGUGUGAAAGUAUUUUAGAUCUCCCCAUAAUGCUGAGAGUAAUUGGGAGAGAUAUCUAGAGGUCUUGAUUUCAGAGGGUUUUAGGAGGCGAUCACGGAGUGAAUCCUUGACAAAAUAAGGAGACUCACGGUUCUAUUAGUAAACAUAUUGGCGAGUCACUUCCUUUUAUUAACCAUGCAAAACACCUAGUAAGAGCCUUUUUUAUUUUUAAGUAUUUUUCUUAAAAUAUUAGUGAUUAUUUAUGACAUUGUUUAACUAAUGACUUAUUUUAUAGGCUACACAACUUGGGUGCAAGCCAACUGCAAUGGAGUUAUAUAUGAAAACACAUAUAUGGAGGGAGGAUAAACAGAAAAAGGAUGCAACAGUUCGUGGACAACCAAGUUAAGGUGUUUAUUGUAAGUAAAAUUCGAGACCUUUUGUAUACUUUUGGACUAAUGUUUUUUUUUUUGUCAACAAUUUUUACUCUUUUUUUGUUGUAGGAACAAUAUAACAUUGGCAUGCAUGCCAAACCAAAGUUGUGGUUGGAAGCUAGAGCAACUGAUGAACUCAAUAGAAAUUGAAUUUAUGGUAUCUCUAUGUCUACAACUUGAUAUAUCAGGUCGGUUUGUAGUAUCUCAACUAUAAACACCGUAUAAUUCAGCCCGAGGUAGCCAUCACUAGUUCUUCAAGAGUUGCUUGAAGAACAUGUUGUUGUUGUUGCAAUGAUUGAUUUGAGGGUCAAAAUAGAGGCAAAGUAUGAAGAACAAAGUAUAAAGCAAUGAGAAGAGAAGAUGGCAUACUUGUCUGGUCAUUAUCCUUCAUUUUAAGGACCUCCACGAGAUUUCCCUCCCUCUCCACCCCCACUUCCACUUGCAACUCCAACUUCUUUUUAAUGUAUAUAAACAUUUGUAAUUGAUUUUUAUAAUAAUAUGAAAAGUGUUCAAUUUAAAUUAGUUGUUUAAUGUCAAAUUGUUUGAUCCAAAUAAGCAUGUAUUUUAAAAACAAUUACUAAAAUAAUGAUGGAAUCACCGACUAACAUAAAACUUUUGUCGGUGAUUUCAUUGAUACAACAAGCCCAUUCUCCUCUAAGAGUUACAUAGAGUUGUGAACCAUUUUGAUAUAGUCUGAUGGAUUCAUAAGCAGAACAUGUUUGUCGGUGAUUUGGUUGGUUAAUCCGUCAAUAAUACAUGAUAUAUUAUCGACGAUCAAUUCAUCGGUGCUUCAUCAGGUAAUAUUUACCAACAAAUAGAUUGACCGAAAAAUGGUCGAUGCCUAUUUAUAUCCCUAAUAUGAAUAUUAUAUCACUCUAUCCAUUAGCAUUGAAGUCAUCGACUGAAUUACUGAAGGAUUUUAAAUCCUUGAUGAAAUAAUCGCUGAUGACACUUUUCCAUAGAUAAAUUCGUCGGUGAUUUUUAUACCGACCAAAAUAUAACUUUUACACAAGUGAAAUAUUUGAAGAUCACCCACAGCACGUCGACCAUCAUGUAACAACUUUCCACCCUAAUAUGAUGUAAAUAUAAAUUAUUAAUCCAUAAAUAAAAUGCAACGGUUUUGUUGAAGCCUAUCAAAAGUAACAAAUACUUAUAACAUUUUGAAUCCAACGUGCAUGUGGCUUAUUCUCCAUCUCCUCGCAUGGAGGAACUUGCACUGGGUUUGGUAUAAUGAUUUAACGUGUUAUACUCAGGUGCCAACCCAUGUAUUUCUCCUAAGAAAGUACACGAUGCAUCUCUCUAAAAUAAAAUUUCUUCAUGCAUCCCAUAUCGAUAUAUACUGGAGAUGGUAGAUUAUCCAAUUACAAUCAGCGUGCUUACCGAAAUGACUAAUGGAAUGCAAUUGAUCGCUCGUAUAAAUGUUAGAUGAGAUGUAUUGCUUAAAGCCAAAUUGUUGCAUUACACGGUCUGGGAAAUGCAUCUCAACAAGCUUAAAAAAUAAAAGGGGACAACUGAUGUCAAUAGUCAAUGUGAAUAUAACAAGAGCAACUUUUAUAUCAUAUUCUGAAUAAGGAUUCUACACAACUUAUUGAAACAUCAACAAUGCAAUUAUUUUCCAUUAUUUACCAACAUCAACCCAUGCAGUUAUUUCUCAUCAUUUACAAACAACAUAAUUUUUUUUUAUAUCAAUAAUGUAAUUAUUUGUCAUCAUUUACCAACAUCAACCUAUGCAAUAAUUUCUUAACAUUUAUCAAUAUAGAAAAAUUAAAUAUCAACGCAAAUAACAAUAAUAGUAAUACUAUUAUUCAUAUCAGGGACAAUAACACCACCAUAAUGACACAACAUAAAGAAGUUUGAAGAUAUAUUUUUUAAAAUAAAAAUACUCAUUUCACCAAAAACAAAUUAUCUCACAAUUCAAUGCAAACCCUAAUUGCUAUUACUUUGGCCAUAAUAAUAGCAAUAAAAAAUAAUUAAUUGCAUCAAUUAAAAAGUAAAUGAUCUUAAUUGAACAAAAUCUUCAAUUACAAUAAUGUUUACAAAAGUUCAAAGUAAACUAUAAACGCUAUGAUUUCGACCAUAACCUUAUUAAUAAUAUCAAUUGAUUAAAAGCCUAUCUAAUAACAUCAAUUAAAACAAAAUUUAUAUCAAUUCAAAUAAUAUAAUUAAAUAUGACAAGUAACUCAAUAAUCAGUUUAAACCCUAAUUUCUCUAAUCCAAACACAUAAUUGCAAUAUUCAUAACUUAAAAUUAUCUAAUUAUCAAACACAACACAAAUACCUAAUUAAAUCAAAACAUAAAAUUUAUCAAUUCAAUAAUAAAACUCAUCAAACCCUUGGGCAAACGGUUUGCAAGAAAAAAAAAGAGUAGAAAGACUCGUGGAGACAUGAGGAAGAUGUUUCUAGCGUUUUGGUGGAGGAUUAAACAUAGUUUUGGGUGAUUGGAGGCUGGUUUUUAUGGGGGGUUUUCGGUUUCUAGGGUUUUCUUCUUUGUAGAAGCGGCGACCAUCGAGAAAAAGAGGGAGAGAUUAUAUAUGCAUCGUAAUCACAAUUUAAAAUCGUGAUGUUAUUAUAUAAUUACUAUUCUGAAUCGUAGUUGUUAAUUAAAGAAUCGUUAUUCAUUAAACCAUGAUUUAAAGUUACCAUUUUUAUCUAAAUUGUUAUUUUGAAUAAUAACGAUACAAAACAACAUUGAUUUUGAAACUAUAUUAUUUCCUCGAAAUUUUUCAAAAUUGUAUCAUUUUCUAAUUACUUUCUUCAAAUUGUGUUGUUUUUCAAAAAAACUGAAUUACGUGCCCGUUGCAUUUCCCUUAUGGAGAGGCAGUUGGAGACAUUAUUAUGCCUGCCAACGUUUUCUUUUCUUUCCUGCUUUAAUUAUUAUGUACGCCAAUGUUUAUUUGUUUUCUUUCUUCUCUUUUUUGCUUUCAUUAUUAUGUCUGCCAAUGUUUUCUUAUCUUUUCUUUCCUCCUCUUCUUUUCUUAUCUUAUCUUUCUUGCUUUCUUUCUGUACUGUUAAAAUGACUUGGAAAGGAAUGAAUGGGAUUCUUAAGACGGACUAGACAAAUUAUUAUCAUGUUCGUCUACAAAUAUCUGAUGGAAAGUUAAGGCCCUACGAAUAGCUAGCUAGGGUCCUUCAAUAUUCCAAGUUGAUUAGAUGGUCCUCCAAAUGUUUUUCCUUACAAGGACAACUUUUUUCUCCCAUGCGUUGUGGAAAGUAAAGCCUCUGAUUUAAGCAUUUCUCUGUCAUUGUGGAAAGCAAAGCCCGAUACAUGACAAUACUUUCCUCGUUAUAUUCUUCUUUAAUUUCGUUAUUAUUAUUUUUUUUUUAAUAUGAGUGUCCGGGCUACUUUGUGCGGACCUCGACUAAUCCCACGAGCCCUGAAGUUAACAACCAUAUAAGCCUCUAGUGACCAUCAUAUUUGUAACCACAUGACUCGAACCUGAAAUCACAUGUAAAUUAAAACUUUUGAUUUCAAGUUCUUAUUACUGAGCUAGCUAGUAGAUGGUUACAACUAUAAGUUUUGGUUUAGAUAUAGAUGUAGUUGGGUUUUUUAAUUUAAAAAAAUAAUGUAAUAUGGACGUCAUAUUUUCUGCAUAGAGUGUAUAAUAGUCCAUCUAUUUUUUAUUUUUAUUUUUCAUGUUUGAAAAAAAAAAUCUUAUAACCCGGUACUCUGCUUGUGUUUGAAAUAUAAAAUUUAAUUUUGAUUUUACACUUUAUUGAUUAAAGUAAAUAAAGUGGCCAUUGCACCAGAAUCAUGAUAUGCUUCAAACUAUACAUUGAUUACAAUAUAACCGAGAAUAUCUUUUUAUCAGAGGUUAAAUCCAUUAUCAAAAAAAGAAUUUAGUAAAAAAAUUUCUUUGAAGUGAAGCGAAUAAAAGCUUUAUUCUUUCAUAAAUAUUCUUGUGCAAUUAAGAAUUGAUUUUUCAUCAUGUACAUGCCAGAAUUAAUUUUAAUUUUAUAUUUUAUACAACUGUUUAAAAAUUCUUGAGUCAUGAAUUUUUAAUUAAAACUUGCUUUUUAAAUCAUUAUAUGUUUUAAUUUAAAAACAAUGUAUCUGAUAUAAGAAAAAUAGUUUUAUCAAAACAAUAAAAACAAAUACAUGAAUAAGGAAUAUUACACCUUUUAGUUUUUAUUCAAAAAACAUGUUACUGAUAAAACAAAUACUUUGUUAAAAAAUACAUGAAUAAGAAAAAAGGAAUUUGGCUUAAAAAGUACACUUUUUUUUCAGAAAUUAAAUCAUUCUUUUUUUAUAAAUAUUUAUUUUAAUUAUCAAAUAAAAAAAAAUUUCCCCUAUAACGAAUAUUUAUAUUUAAAUAUCAAAUUAAAUAUUUAUAUUUUCAUCAUGUUCAUGCACCCUGCGAAUGGACAAGAUUAAUAUAUAUUCCAAAAACGCAUGUUCAAGUAUACCUAUCGUGAUUCUUUUUCCAAGUCAAGGUCAACCGACUAAUUAAUUAUACGAAAAAGGAGUUAUAAAUUAAAUAAUAACAAAUUAGUCACAUGUCCCAUUAAUAGUUUCUUUGUAUGAAAUUUCUUCGUGUCCGGUAAGUGUCAUUUUUAUCAAAACAAUAUAUUAAAUUUAGUGGAUAAACAAGCAUGCCUAUGCUUUUUUUUUUUUUUAAAGCUAGGUGCGCAUGCUCGUUUUUUUAGCUAGACAUGCCUAAUGAUUUUUACUAUUCAAUUAUUUUAUGAAUAAUUAUAUAUAAUUUAAUAUGUAGAUUUAAAACUCAUGAAUAUUCAUAAGAAUAAAAUAUUUAUUAUUAUUAUUAUUUUUAUGGCUAAUUUUUUAUAUGAUUUUAUUAAAUUAAUUAAUUUUUUAUUUUUUAGACAACUAUUUAAAAAUUCUUGAGUCAUGAUUUCUUAAUUAAAACUUGCUUUUUAAAUCAUGAUAUGUUUUAAUUUAAAAACAAUGUUUCUGAUAUAAGAAAAAUAUUUUUAUCAAAACAAUAAAAAAAAUACAUGAAUAAGGAAAGGACGUUUUGAUUAAAGAUACACCUUUUAGUUUUUAUUCAAAAAAAUGGUACUAAUAAAAAAAAAUGUUUUGUUAAAAAAUACAUGAUAAGAAAAAAAAGAAUUAGGCUAAAAAGUAAAUUUUUUUUUCAGAAAUAAUCCUCUAUAAAUAUAUAAUUGUCUAUUUUUAAUUAUCCAAUCAAUAAAAUAAAAUUUUAAAAAUAUCUUGUGAUAUAGUAUGAUCACAAUAACUAGUAUGAUGAUAUAUAUAUAUAUAUAUAAAAGUAAUGAUUUAAACUGAGAUUAAAACUACAACUCAUAUUUUACUUUAUAGUGAGAUGGUUUGGAAGUUAUGAUUUAAGAUGGUACAUCGGUUGAGACAACAAGUUGAUAUUGUCUCAAUCUCUAGAUGAUUUUUUUUUAUUAUUAUGGAAUGGCAUCGUAUGAGGAUCUAUGUAAAAAAAAAUUGUGGUGUUUGUUUUUUUGGUAUAGUUUGAUUUGUUUGGAAUGCUAACAAUAAUCUAAUUUUUAACAAGAAAAAAAUAGCCUAGGAUGAUGUGAUUUAUUCCCUUUUUCAUCAUGUUGCUAUUUAGAUAAAAUGUAAUAAUAAGAAUUUUUAUUAUAUUAGAUUAAAUUUACUUUGUUCAUCAAAUUAUCUUAUAUAGACUAAUAAAAUAAAUAUGAAAAGUGAUUCUUCUAGCUUAUCUCCUCUUAUAGGUAUACUUAAGUGAAAUGUUGAUGUGUUUUAAUGACAAAUUUAGAUCAUGAAGAGAAGUUUCUUUAUAUUUUUUCUUUUUUUAAUAUGUAAUAUGGAAUCUAAUGAAACCUCGAAGUCUUAUCAAUUCAUAAAGCUAUGCUUUUGAAUAUUGAUUACUGCUAUGUUUCUACAGAUCCAUGGGUUGUAAAGUCAACUUCUUACAAUGUCAUUACUUGAAUUAAAGAAAAUAAUGUUAUGCGGCCUUGACACAUGCAAAGUGAAUUCAAUUAUAUAUAAAAAAUAUAUCAUAUCAUCCAACCAUCAUCUAUGACAGAUCAAUUGUUGUCGUCACACCACAACAGCUACAUCACCACCGAUACAAUAAAAAACCAUGAUAAAAAACUAUCUAGGUGGUAGCCUAGUGGUAAAAGCUUGGGACCAAGAUGUUUGCUCCCUCUGUGAUCUCAGGUUCGAACCCUGUGGUUGCUCAUAUGAUAGCCACUAGAGGCUUACAUGAUCAUUAACUUCAGGGCCCGGAUUAGUCGAAGUACACGCAAAUUGAACCAGACACCACGUUAAACUAAAAAAAAAACCAUGAUAAAAAAAAAAAACCAUGAUCGCAACAUUAUAUCGUGCCUCGUUACCAUGUUUAUAUAUAUAUGUAUAUAGACCCACACCUCCUCCUCCAUUAUCGUUAUAACACCAGCCAGCUAAUCCUCUCCAUCUUUAUAACUACCGCCCUGCAUCUUGUAACUAGCUAACUCUCCAUACAUACCAAAACAUUUUAUUCCCUAAAAUUCCCAGUUUCUUUUCGUGUCAUAAAUGGGGUCUCAAAGAAAUAAUCAAUACUUGACUAUGAUACUCUUUGUUACCAUUUUUUUUCUAUCCAGUUCCCAGCGAAUAUUGGCAGCGAGGCUAUUAAUAGGGAGUGAUCAGAUCAGUGGAUGGCACCCACCUUGCGGUUCUGUAUGUGAAUAUGAGAGCAAGUGUCCUGGAUGCCAUGGCAACGGUCCUCCUAUGAUAUGACGCGGGAGGAGUGGGUUGUUUUGAGCUGUAGCUAAAUUAUGGAUGAAUAAUCUAGGGUCGGUUUUCCUUAUACUUGCCAGCAAGUAACUUGGAAUGCAUAGCUGCCCUUAGUGUGUCACUUUUUUUUUUCUUUUUUUUCUUUUAUCCAUGGUUUGGGGCGUGAUAAUUAUUUCUGUAUAGUUUGCUCGUAGUGGUUACUUAUUUUGACCAUGUUCUUGUUUUGGUGGUCUAUUCUCUCCCUUAAAAACGCUCCCUUUCUCUUUAAAAUCUUGAAAUCUAAAUUCGAGUUUUAGUGCUGUUUUAAUUCCAUUCAAAAAAUACCAAAUGGGAAGGUGAUGAGAGAAGAAAAACGAAAGAGGAAAGAUGAAAAGAUAAAGGAAGAGAGGUAACCAUGAUCCUGAAACCAACGCCCAUGUAUGAAUAAAGAGUAGCUAGCAAGACCGCAGAAGGAAAGGAAAUUGCAAAACCCAUGAAUAGUGUGCACCUGCAAGCAAUCAUUCCAGACAGCAGCCAGAUAGAAAAUGUCAAUUUUCAGCUUAAUCAAGCAUAAAAAAAAAAGCAUACAGCUCGAUCCCUCAUUAGUUGACAUAAAUUUAAUAAUAGCAAUAUAUACAAGGCUUGCCUUUUGACCCCAUGAAUACGCUGUUGAUGAUAUAUCAUGCUUUCAUAGCCAUGUUUUAUUUUUUUUAUAAUCUUCAUGCAGGUAACCAAAUUGACAAGCUCAGCCUUUUCUUUAGGUUUCUUGUUUCUAAUUGAUCGUUUGGGCUUUGCAGAUAUGUAUUGUGGAAUAGUGGAGAAGAAGAUGAUGUGCUGGCUUUUGCAAUUUUUUCACACAGCCAGAUGGAAUCUUACUGGAUGACUUUUUCUCAAUUUGAUAGUUUAGUAUUAUUUGAAUUAUUUAUUCUAUAUAGGAUAUGUUUCCUUACAAGUAUUAAACUUCUCUAAGCUGAUAGUGAAACCAGUGGUGAUUUUUAAUCUAUAUCCACAACUAGAAAAUUCACGAAUAUAAAUAGAAAUAUCGGCGAAUUUUUUCUGUCAAUAUUUUUCGGUGAUAUUUAGUGAUCAAAUUUUUUUCAUCGUUAACUUAUUUUUGGGAAUAUAUCAUCAUUAUAUUCUAAGAGAAUCCCAGUCGAAAUAGAAGAAAUUAAAAUAAAAAACCAAAGAGUAUGAUGACACACACACCCACACACACACACACACACACAUAUAUAUAUAUAUAUAUAUAUAAGUUUUUACAAACCUCGACACCGACCAAAUUAUAGUUAGAUUCAAGCAAUCAAGCCGUACAAUGACGUGUCACUUACACCGAUAUGAUUGCCGAUAGUUUGACAGCUAAAAUAAUUUUAUCGGUAAUAUUUAAUAUAUGAAUAUCUGGCAAUCGACUCUCCUCUCCCCUUUCCCUAUUUCUCUUUCUUUCUUAAAAAGUAUGUGCAACAAAACAAACAGUCUCAACGUGUCACUUAUACCGACAAGAUUGCAGACGGAUUGACAGAUGAAAUAAUUUCAUCGGUAAUAUUUAAUAUAUGAUAUGACGAUCGACCCUCCUCUCCCCCUCCCUUAUUUCUCUUUCUUUCUUAAAAAGCAUGUGCAACAAAACAAACAGCCCCCAUCUCAACACAACUUAUCAUUUCACAACCUCGAUACUUUGUUUAAAAGCAUCCAUGUUUUCUAAUUGAAAUUUUAUUGUGAAUUUUUUAUUUUAAGUAAAUUUUUUCUUUUAAAAAAAUAGUUGAAUACAUUUUUAAAAUGUUAGGAAACAAACAAUUGAUACAUAUGAAAACAAUAUAAAAAGACAGCAAAUACAAAAAAAAAAAAAAAAAAAACCAAAAUUAUGUAAAUAAUGGUCACCCAACAAAAACUUUAAUUCAAAAUACAAGUAGUUUAAUUUAUUUAAGAGAUUUAUGAUUCCUUAAAUAAAUUUCAAAACUGACCUACAUACACUAGUAACCCUAAAAAUAAAGUAAAUAAUAAAAAUUUUAAAUAAACUUGGAAAUAAAAAAAAAGCUAAAAAGAACCUUUAUACCUAAUUUAAAACUACCCCUCUUAUAAAAUUAGACAAUUCAUAUCUUUUUGUAAAGGUGUUUAGAAGUGUGGUAUCUAUUGCAGUUUAAAAUGUUUUUUUAUUAAGAAAUAUAUUAAAAUAAUAUUUUAAAAAAUUAUUUUUAAUAUUAAUAUAUCAAAACAAUCUAAAAAUAUAAAAAAUAAUUUUAAACAAAAAAAUAAUUUUUUUAAAAAAACAUAAUUUAAACGGUAUUUCCAAUACUAUUUUAAACUCAUUAGAAAAGUCUAAAAAUAUUUUGACAAGGCUAUCAACGUAAUCCAGUUGUCGCAAACGAUAACCACCUGCGUGAAAAACGAAGCUCAAAUUUUUUCUUCAUAAUUUUGAUUAAAAGUUUAACAAGUGAUGGGUGCUUUCAUCUUUUUGUUGACAAGUCUCUGUUUUUUUUUUUUUAGUUUAAUAAGGGUGUCCUGGUCAUUCUUGAUGAAAUGAUAAUAAUUACAUUAAAAAACUAAUUAUUGAAAGGUUAAAUUAAAGUACUAACGACUUUCCUAAUAUUUUGAGGAUCAUUAUAGGUUGCUAGACAUUAUACUUGAUCUUCAAAUAUAAAUCAAUUAAUUAUUGAAUUGAUAAUAAAUUAAAUUGUUUAAUUUAUUUUAUCCUAUUUAUUUAGAAUUAUGAUUUAUAUUUGAGUCAAUUUAUUAUAAAACUUAAUGGGUUAUACACAUAAGAACCAUUGGUCAAAAAUAAAAAUUAGAUGAUUAAUCAAGUUUGACUUGAUUGUGAAUUUUAGAAAUUGAGAACUAGAAUGUAAUUAAUAUAGAGAAUUAUAAUUCUAAACCUAAAACAAUCUAGGUAUUUGAAUGAAUAAAUUUCUAAAGUUAUCCUAAAAUAAUAUAUGUGAUAUUAUUCAAGGGAAAAAUUGAUAUUUUGUCAUAUAUAGGGCUUUCAGGUUUCUUAUAAAUAAAAUGUUAUGUCACUUAUUUUCAAUACAACAAACAACAAAAACACCUGAAAUAUAAAAGAAAAAACCUAACACUUAAAGGUAUAACAGUGCCUUUUUUUCUCACUAGUAGUUUGUAUAGAUUAACAUUAUAGGCCUAACACUUAGAUGACUUGUGGUUUGUAAAAACCUAGUUUUGAAGCAAUUAUUUAAAGCAAAAAAAAACAUCUGAUCUUCAAGUGAUUUUCAUAUAAUUCUCAAACAACUCUAGAUUUGUCUAGUGGGAUCCUUGAUACUCUUGAAAAAAUUUAAAUUAUUGUUUCCGUCACGUAUAUAUCUUUUGGGAAACCUAAAAGUCCUAACACUCCUAGUUUCUAUAAAGAAUGGGUCAGGACAUAUGUGUAUGGAUAAUCGAGCCAUUAACCAGAUCACUAUGAAAUACUAGUUUCUAAUAUCAUGGUUAGAUGACAUGUUAGAUAAGUUAUUAGGUUUAAGGUUGAUCCCAAUAAUAGUUACCAUAUAAGAAUUAAGUCAGGAGAUGAGUGAAAGACAACCUUUAAAACACAACAAGGGUUAUAUGAAUAAAUAGUUAUGUCAUUUGGUCUGUCCUCCCAACAUUUUCAUAAGGUUCAUAUAACGGGUAUUGAGGUCACUCAUGGACAGAUUCAUUAUCUUUUAUUUCCUUGAUAUUCUGAUUUAUAGCCUACUUUUGAGUCUCAUUUAAAACAUAUGCAUGUUGUUUUUGACACUUCGAAGAAGGAGAAAUUGUAUAUGAAUCUUAAGAAGUUUAAAUUAUUCACUAGUACUAUUUCUUUUUUAUCUUUAUUAUGUCUGUUGAUGGUCUUCAAGUUGAUCCGUCUAAGAUUUUUGUAAUUUUGGAGUAACCAACUCUAAAUAGUGUUCAUGAUUUUCGAAGCUUUCACAAACUUCCAUCCUUCUAUUAAAAUUUUAUUUGAAAUGUUAAUUCUCUUAUUACACCUAUUAUUGAGUAUCUAAAAGGACACAACUUUUAGUGGAUAGAUAAGGCUGAAUCUAGCUUUCAGCUAGUGAAGAAGAAGAUGGGUGGGUAUUGUGACUAAAACUCCUAUAUUAGCACUUCAAUAUUUUAAGAAACUGUUUAAGAUAAACUAUGAUCCAUCUAGGUUAGGUAUUUAGGGAGUUCUUAAACAAGAUGGGAGGCUAAUUGCUUUUUUUUUAGAAGUUAUUUAGCUAACAAAGGAACUACUCCAUGUAUGAUUUGGAGUUUUAUGCUAUUGUUUAGAGUCUUAAGCAUUGAUAACAUUACUUAGUUUUGAAGUAGUUUAUCCUAAUCACAAAUCAUGAAGUCUAAAAUAUGUAAAUAACCAGCAUAAGUUAAGUUAUCGGUAUGAAAAGUUGGUGUCAUUUCUAAAAGAGUUCAUCUUUUUGUUAAGGCAUCAAUUGAGUGGCUUAAGCAAAGCUUGAUGCCCUUAGUAGAUGAGUUACUUUACUCAAUACUAUAUAUGCCCAGAUGAUAGAGUUUAAUGCUUUUAGAGAGCUAUUAUUAGGUUAUUCACCAUUUGAACAAAUUUAUUUUAAGUCAAUAAAUAGAGAUGAUUGAGAUAAUUUUAUACUUUUCAAUGGUUAUUUGUUUUAGGGUUUGCAACUAUGUAUUCUAUAUUGCUCUUUACAGGAACAUAUCAUCCAUGAAUUGCAUUGUGAGGGAUAAAUUGGGCAAGACAAGACCUUGGCUCUAGUGUCCAUAAAUUGUUAUUACUUCCAAGUUAAAUAUCUAGUAUUGUGAGGAGAUGUGCUCUUUGUUAUAGAUUCAAAGGAACCUUAUCAAAUGUUGGGUUAUAUACUCAAUUACCGGUUCUUCAUGCUUUGUGACUUGAUGUUGAAUGGAUUUUGUGUUGGGCUUACCUUGUAUCCAAUAAGCUAUGAAUUAUAUUUUUAUUGUUGUGGAUAAGUUCUUAAAGAAGAUCCAUUUCAUAGCAUGUUAUAAGACAAUAAAUGCUCUUAAAUAGCCUACCUCUACUUUAACGAGGUGGUUUGUUUACAUGACAUCCUUAAGUCCAUCACUUCAUAUAUAGAUUUAAAGUUUAUAUCUAACUUCUAGAAGAGUUUGUAGGGUACGAUAAGAACUCAAUUGAACUUUAGUUGUGCAUAUCAUCCUCGGAUAGAUGAGAAGAUAAAGAUGGUUAACCGAAGGCUUGGCAACUUGAUAUGAAGUUUAAUGGGAUACAAGAUAAAAUAAUAGGAUCUACCCUGGCUAGAAAUAGAUUUUGCUUUUAAUAUAUCUAAAAAAUAGACUAUCCAACUGAGUCUAUUCAAGAUUGAUAUGGAUAGAAUCCUUUUAAAGUCCUAGAGUUGAUGCAUGUUCCUCGUAUCGAAUAACUGAGUAUCCAAGUUGAUGGUAUGAUAGAUUACUUGCAUGGUAUUUAUGAGCCGGUCAAUAAGACGGUUAAUGAUAGCAAUGCCAAGUAUAAGGUCCCGACUAACACUCAUCAUAGAAGAGUGGUGUUUGAGGUUGUUGAUAUAGUUCGGACGAUGCUUAUUCAUGACAGGUUUCUAAUGAGGGAGUACAACAAGAUGGAGGAAAGAAAAAUAAGUUCUUAAAAGGUAUUGCAGAAGAUAAAUGGUAAUGCUUACAAACUUCACCUUCCUAUCCAUCUGAAGACUUCUAAUAUCUUUGAUGUCCAACUACUAAUACCCUAUCAAGAGAAAAAAAAAACAGAACUCGAGAUGAGUUCUUUUUAAUCAUGGGAAAAUGAUGCAUUUGGGCUUGUGGAAACUAAAGGUUAUACCAUAUUAGCACCUUAAAAUUGCAAUAACAGAAAAUCUAAUAUUGGAUCGGGCUUAUAUUUUUUCAAGUUAUUCUAUAAACAAUUUUCGUAUGAAAAGUUAUUGUGUUGCUUAUCAAUCUAUUGGAUCUUUUAAAAUUAUGACUUGAGCCUGAAUGCUACAAAAUGGGGUCAAAUUUUUUUUAUUUUUUCUAUGUUUUUUUGGUUUUAUUGUUUUAUUUGAAUUUUUUAGUUUCAUUUAUACUUUUAAAUUUUUAGUUGUUUUAGAGUAGAAGUAGGAUUUCCCGACACACAGUUUUCUGGUAAUGAUGAUCAGCUUGGUGAUACUAAUAAAGAAGACAAUCCACCUCUAAAUGCACGCGCCUAUGUACCCAUAGAUCAUAGUGGGUGCGGUUUUGGUACACCUCACGUUUGACCUAGUCAAAUGAUGAAUACAUGGAGGUUUUCACUCUUUUUUUUAUCCAUGGUUUUAGCCUUUGCGGUUUGCUAAUUAUUUAUGUGUCUUUUGCUGGUUUUGGUUACUUCCUUUGACCAUGUUCUUGUUUUAUCGUCGAAUAUUUCAUACCUUAAUUGAAUUAAAUAGUUAAAUUUGCGGUGGAUGCCUCACUUGCAACCCAUUUAAGCUUCACUUUUGUUGAAUCUUUCAUACCUUUCCAAUCAUUUUUCUUUAUCGAAUUUUUGCCGCAUUGUUAUGCAUAUAAAUGAGUCUCAUUUCUCUAAUAACUUAUUACCGUAUUAAUUUUUAAAAUUGAUUUUAAAUUUUAUUCAAAAAAAUUAAUUCUUAUGAUAAGUAAUCUAUUUUCAAUCUCUUUAUAUUAUUUUAUAUUUUUAUAAUUGUAUAGUGUUCGAUAAUUUCCUUUCGAAUAUCCUUUGAGUUGAAAUUCGAAAUAAUGUGGAAAUGUAUAAUUGAACCUUAUCGUAGUCUAUACGGCUACUUGAUGAAUCCAUGGAUGAUCCAAAAUGCCUUUUGAAUUCUGUAUGCAUCUAGUGCCAUGCUUCGUGUCUCAUAUAGGCUGUUUCACGUUUUAUAUAUAUAUAUAUAUAUAUAUAUAUACACCCCCUCCUUCAUUAUCGUUCACACGAGCUGCCUGAACCUCUCCAUCUUCACUACCACCCUUGUGUCUUCCUAACUAGCUAGCUCCAUACACAUACCUAAACAUUUUGUUUCUUAAAAGUCCCAGCUUUUUUUUCGUUUCAUAAAUGGAUUCUAAAAGAAAAUAUAAUCAAUACUUGACAAUAAUACUCUUUGUUACCAUUAUUUUUGUAUCAUGUUCCAACCCAAUAAUGGCAGCGAGUCCAUUAGGGAGUGAUGAUCAUCAGCUUGGAGAUAAUCCAGACCAACAUAUGCCCCGUAAUCCCGGCAAGGUCGAGCAUUAUAAUCCAUGCCGAUAUGUGCCCGGAAGUCUUAGUAGAUGCAGAGUUGGUGGACCUCCAGUUUGACGUAGUAAAAUGCUGAAUGAAUAAUCCAGGGAGGUUUUCUCUUAUACUUACCAAAAACUAGCCUGCAAGGCAUGUCAACCCCUAAAGUUUCACUUUUUUUACCCAUGGUU